rnacentral:tRNA from 1 species
AGGGUAAUAGCUCAGUGGUAGAGCACAUGAUUAGCACACAUGAGGUCCUGGGUUCAAUCCUCAGUACCUCCA